GCCCAUUAUGGGAGGGCCCAAUGAGAAUCCAAUUUGAGUUAUGCUAAGUCCCCUCUCUAAUCUAGAUAAAAAGGGUUUAUCUGUUUUCCCAUUGAGCCACCAUAGCUAUUAUCAAGAUCAUAGAGAGGAAGACUUGGCUACAACAAUCAAUCACGUUUUUUUAUCAUUGCUCAAACAGAAUUUUGGACCCAAUGCUGGAGGUUGAAGAUGACCUCCAACACAUGCCACACGUGCCACAUGUGUCACACGUUCCCCACUCGCGAGUCAAGUGUGUAAGGUGCGUAUAACCUCAUCUGGUGUUCGUUUUGAGCUCCGUUUUUUCUUGUGCGCUCGUUUUUUUGUAAUCUAUUUUUCUAGAUAUAUUAUUUUAUUUUUGGGGGGUCUAAAAUAUUUAUUAAAUAAUUAUUACUUAUUUAUGUCAUUUGAUUAGCUUAAAAUUAUUUUUUUGGUAUAAUUUUCUAUUGAGAAUUUACCAGAAAUUAUGUUAAUAUAUAUGGAAUAGGAGUGUAGUACUCACUCUCUCUAGAUUGAAACUUUUUCAUGCAUACUCUCCUACUUGGUCUAAAUCACAUAAACUAGUUAAAUAAUUAAUUUAAAGUGUAAUAAAUAAAUAAAUAAUUGUUGUUCAAAUUCUUGCAACUAUAAUUGAUCAUAUGCAUAUAUAUCGCUAAUAUGCACUAUUGUUGUUGGGCAAUUUUUUUUUUUAAUUUACCCAAUUUUGGAACGUUGCAUGUGAAUUGUUGAGGUUAUUUUACCAAAGUGAUUUAACCAUCAAAAUUUGCAAGUUUAUGAGUUUCUAUUUUGUUGAUGGGGAAAAUUUUAGAUUAAUUUGUACAAUCGCCUGCCCAAAGGGGGUUAUUGUGCAAAUUAAUUUAACAACAUGAGGAUAUUGAAUGAGAUAAAUAAUUUGAUAAAUUUAUUUGCCCAAAGGAAAUAAAUUUUAAUGAAUUAUUUGUUGAUCUUCAUGCUUAAAGAAUAGUUGUUUAUUGUGGACUUUGCCCAAAGGGGAGUUUAUGAUAGUACAAUUGAUUCUUGUAUUGUAUUGCUUAUGCUUAUUUAAGUUUUUUUUACCUAUUGCCCAUAAUUGAUCUAGUUGAAAAAUUUUGUCAAUCAGUUUCCUUUGUUGUGAACAAUAAUGCUACAAUUGAAAUUCUAAGUGGGUCGAACUAUAAGAGAUGGAGAUCAGACAUAGAGUUUGUUUUAGGAAUGAUGGAUAUUGUGAUUUAUUGUGACAAUAAUGCAGUUGUGUUCUACUCUAAGAACAAUAAGAUUAGUACGGGUUCUAAGCAUAUGGAAAUCAAGUACCUUACAGUCAAGGACUUAGUGAAGAAAGGAGAUAUUGUGAUUGAGCACAUAAGAACUGAGUCCAUGCUAGCUGAUCCUCUAACCAAAGGUUUAAAGCCCAUAACGUUCAAGGAACAUGUUGUGAAUAUGGGUGUCAUUAAGUCUUUUGAUUCUUUGGUUUAGUGGGAGCUUUUGUGAUUUCCCUUAUUUCAAUUAUUGUUUUAUGCAAACAUUGAUCAUUAUUGUUCUGCAACUUGCAAAAUUAAAAUCUUUUUAUUAUGAUCAUCAUAAUUAUGUAUUAUAUUAUAGUAUGUCGUAAUUGAAUUACAUACAAUAUGGUAUCUUGAGAUAUUGAACCUUAAGAAUUACAGUUGUAUACUAUUGGAUGUCACAAAUACCACUAUUUUGAGAUUUUGUGGUGCAUUGUUGGUGACAUAUGACUUGUUAAAGUCAAGCAAUUUCAUAUUGUUUAGAAAUUGCAGCAAUUUCAUUUUGUUGAGAAAUUGCAAUUACAAUUUCAUUUUGCUGGUAAAUUGUAAUGAGGACUGAUAAGAAACAAUGCAUAUAGAUGAUGAUCACAUGUUGGCAUUGAUUUCUUACUACACUACUGGGUUUGCGAUCCAUGUCGAUAUGGUUAUAAAUAUUCGUGACUAUAAGGGGCAUUAUGUUUGUUGAGAUUAACAUAUAGACCAUUAUAGUCCAAUAUUAAGAACAUGUUGGACCGGAUAAGUUUAACAAGAUGCUAUUUAUAGACUAUCAUUUCUUUCAAAAAAAACAAAAAGGUGUGGCCACACAAAAUAAACUUUUCUAUAUUUAACCCGAGAGUCUUAUUUUCAAAAUGAAUUUAAUGAAUCCUCAAAAACAAUUAAUGUAGCCCAAGUGGGAGAAUGUUGGAAAAUUUUUAUAUGGGCUAACAUUAAUUGAAUAAUUUGUAUUUGCAAAAACGGGUUAAUGGAUAGUCUAUUCUAUAAUGAGCCCAAUUAAUUAGUGAUCACAUUUUAGAUUGGGUUUUGCAUCUUUUGAGUAGAAGCUCAGUUGAAUGGCAAGUGUAGGCUAUGGGUCUCAUUGAAGCCCAUUAUGGGAGGGCCCAAUGAGAAUCCAAUUUGAGUUAUGCUAAGUCCCCUCUCUAAUCUAGAUAAAAAGGGUUUAUCUGUUUUCCCAUUGAGCCACCAUAGCUAUUAUCAAGAUCAUAGAGAGGAAGACUUGGCUACAACAAUCAAUCACGUUUUUUUUAUCAUGACUCAAAUAGGUAUUUUCUUUAUAGUGAUUUCCUAUUGUUAGUAUCCUUUAAUCAUGUAUGAUUAAUCUAUGUGAUUAUGUAAAUAUUUUACAUGGUAAUGUUGGAAAAUUUUUAUAUGGGCUAACAUUAAUUGAAUAAUUUGUAUUUGCAAAAACGGGUUAAUGGAUAGUCUAUUCUAUAAUGAGCCCAAUUAACUAGUGAUCACAUUUUGGAUUGGGUUUUGCAUCUUUUGAGUAGAAGCUCAGUUGAGUGGCAAGUGUAGGCUAUGGGUCUCAUUGAAGCCCAUUAUGGGAGGACCCAAUGAGAAUCCAAUUUGAGUUAUGCUAAGUCCCCUCUCUAAUCUAGAUAAAAGGGUUUAUCUGUUUUUCCAUAGAGCCACCAUAGCUGUUAUCAAGAUCAUAGAGAGGAAGACUUGGCUACAACAAUCAAUCACAUUUUUUUAUCAUUGCUCAAACAGUUGUGUUCUACUCUAAGAACAAUAAGAUUAGUACGGGUUCUAAGCAUAUGGAAAUCAAGUACCUUACAGUCAAGGACUUAGUGAAGAAAGGAGAUAUUGUGAUUGAGCACAUAAGAACUGAGUCCAUGCUAGCUGAUCCUCUAAUCAAAGGUUUAAAGCCCAUAACGUUCAAGGAACAUGUUGUGAAUAUGGGUGUCAUUAAGUCUUUUGAUUCUUUGGUUUAGUGGGAGCUUUUGUGAUUUCCCUUAUUUCAAUUAUUGUUUUAUGCAAACAUUGAUCAUUAUUGUUCUGCAACUUGCAAAAUUAAAAUCUUUUUAUUAUGAUCAUCAUA